rnacentral:rRNA from 1 species
GAUGAACGCUAGCGGCAGGCUUAACACAUGCAAGUCGAGGGGUAUAGUUCUUCGGAAUUAGAGACCGGCGCACGGGUGCGUAACGCGUAUGCAAUCUACCUUUCACAGAGGGAUAGCCCCAGAGAAAUUUGGAUUAAUACCUCAUAGUAUAGCAGUUUCGCAUGAAACCACUAUUAAAGUCACAACGGUGAAAGAUGAGCAUGCGUCCCAUUAGCUAGUUGGUAAGGUAACGGCUUACCAAGGCAACGAUGGGUAGGGGUCCGUGAGAGGGAGAUCCCCCACACUGGUACUGAGACACGGACCAGACUCCUACGGAGGCAGCAGUGAGGAAUAUUGGGACAAUGGGCGCAAGCCUGAUCCAGCCAUG